UCCGAUAUGGUGUAGUGGCUAACAUUAUCGCCUCUCACUAGCCAGUAUGUCGCGAUAGCCCGGGGUUCGAUUCCCCGUGUCGGAA